AUAAAAGUUUUAUUUUGGCUUAUAAGUUUGUUAUUAGUUUAAUUUAUAUGUAAAUUUUUAUGUGAAUUUUUAUUUAUUUUAAUAGUAAAUAAAUUUUUUAUUAGUCGCAGUAAUUAGUAUUAUUAAUUAAAGAAAUUUAGAAAUAGUAAUAUUAAAGAGUAUUGGCUAAAUUUGUGCCAGCAGCCGCGGUUAUACGAAUAAUACAAAUAAAUUUUGUUUAGUUAAAGUUAGAUUGGUUUUAAUAAAAUAAAAAUAAAUUUAUUAGGUGAAAUUUUAAAUUUAUAUUAAUUUUAAAUUAAAUAAUUAAAGCUUGAAAAUUUUAUUAAUAAACUAGGAUUAGAUACCCUAUUAUUUAAAAUGUAUAAAAAAAGACUAAGGUAGUAGUAGUUAUGUUCUUGAAACUUAAAAAAUUUGGCGGUAUUUUAGUCUAUUCAGAGGAACCUGUUUUGUAAUCGAUAAUCCACGAUGGACCUUACUUAAGUUUGUAUUCAGUUUAUAUACCGUCGUUAUUAGAAUAUUUUAUGAGAAUGUUAAUUUUCAAGAUUUUUAAAUAGAAAAUAUAUCAGAUCAAGGUGUAGCUUAUAUUUAAGUAUAAAUGGGUUACAAUAAAUUUAUUUAAAUGAAUAUAAAUUUGAAAUGUUUAUUGAAGGUGGAUUUGAUAGUAAAAUUAUAAAGAUAAAUAAUUUGAUUUUAGCUCUAAAAUAUGUACACAUCGCCCGUCACUCUUAUUAUUAAGGUAAGAUAAGUCGUAACAUAGUAGAUGUACUGGAAAGUGUACCUAGAAUGCA
rnacentral:ncRNA from 1 species